UGCCACUUCAGGUGGAUCCAGAGUCACUGCAGUUGUUGCAGUGCCUGUUGCACUGUCACUUAACGUGGAUGAAGUGCCCAUGCAAUGGCUGCAGUGUCACUUAAGGUAGAUGCAGUAUGUUGUGUUGGAGGAACCAGUGGACAUGAAGGUGGAUGUGGUGAUCCUGCAUUGGUUUCUGUGCACACUGCAGUGUCCCUGAAUGUGGAUGCAGUGAACAAGCAGUGGACGCACUGAACAUUCAGUGGAUGCACUGAACAUUCAGUGAUUGCAGUACACCUGCAGUGAUACUUCAGCUGAAUGCAGUGUUGCUGCAGUGUUUGCAGAGCCCACUGCAGUGUCUCUGAAUGUGGAUGCAGGGCCCAUGCAGCCUCUGCAGUGUGACCCAAGGUGGAUGCAGUAUGUUGUGAAGUAGGAUGCACUACCAAUGAAGGAGGAUGCAGUGAUCCUGCAUUCAUUGCAGUGCACCUGCAGUGUCAAUUCAUCUUGAUGCAGUGUCCCUGAAUGUGGAUUCAGUGCUCAUGCAGUGAUGAUGUAUGUUGUCAUGGAGGAUGCAGUGCCCUUGAAUGCAGAUGCAGUGAUCAUGCAGUGAUUGCAGUGCAUCUGCAGUGCCACUUCAGGUGGAUCCAGUGUCCCUGCAGUGGUUGCAGAGCCUGUGGCACUGUCCCUGAACGUGGAUGCAGUGCCCAUGCAUUGGCUGCAGUGUCACUGAAGGUAUAUGCAGUAUGUUGUGUUGGAGGAAGCAGUGGCCAUGAAGCUGGAUGCAGUGAUCCUGCAGUGGUUGCAGUGCCCCCUGCAGGGUCCCUGAAUGAGAAUGCCGUGCCCUUGUAUUGGAUUCAGUGCCCCACAUGGUGGAUGCAGUAUGUUAUGACAGAUGAUGUAUUGCACAUGAACGAUGAUGCAGUGAUUCUGCAGUGAUAGCAGUGCACCUGCAGUGUCACUUCAGCUGACUGCAGUGCACCUGCAGUGGUUGCAGUGCCCCCUUCUGUGUCUCUGAAUACGAAUGCAGUGCGCAUGCUUUGGAUGCAGAGUACCAAAAGAUGGAUGUGGUAUGCUGUGACAGAGGAUGCAGUGCCCAUGAAUGUGGAUGCAGUGAUCCUGCAGUGGUUGCAGUGCACCUGCAGUGUCACUUCAGCUGGAUCCUGAGUCCCUGUAGGGGUUGCAGUGCCUGUUGACCAGUCCCAGAACAUGGCUGCACUGUCCAUGCAAUGGCUGCAGUGUCACUGAAGGUAGAUGCAGUAUGUUGUGAUGGAGGAUGCAGUGCCAAUGAAGGUUGAUGCAGUGAUCCUGCAGUAGUUGAAGUGCCCCCUGCAGGGUCCGUGAAUGAGAAUGCCAUGCCCUUGCAGUGGAUUCAGUGCCCCACAAGGUGGAUGCAGUAUGUUAUGACGCAUGAUGCAUUGCCCAUGAUGAUGCAUGCAGUGUUCCUCUACUGGUUGUCAUGCCCCCUUCUGUGUCCCUGAUUGUGGAUGCAGUGCCCAUGCAGUGGAUGCAGUGUCCCACAAGGCAGAUGCAGUAUGUGGUAAUGGAGGAUGCAGUGCCCAUGAAGGUGGAUGCGGUGAUCCUGCAGUUGUUGCAGUGCCCCUUCAGGUUCCCUGAAUGUGGAUGCAGUGCCCAUGCAGUGGAUGCAGUGUUGCACAAGGUGGAUGCAGUAUGUUGUGACGGAAGAUGCAGUGCCCACGACUGUGAAUGCAGUGAGACUGCAGUGAUUGAAGUGCGCCUGCAGUGCCACUUCAACUCUAUACAGUGUCUGUGCAGUGGUUGAAGUGCCUGUUGCCCUGUGGCUGAACGUGGCUGCAGUUCCCAUGCAAUGGCUGCAGUGUCACUCAAGGUAGAUGCAGUAUGUUGUGACAGAGGAUGCAAUGCCCAUGAAGGUGGAUGCGGUGAUCCUGCAGUGGUUUCCGUGCACACUGCAGUGUCCCUGAAUGUGGAUGCAGUGAACAUGAAGUGGAUGCAGUGAACAUUCAGUUAUCGCGGUGCACCUGCAGUUCCACUUCAGCUGCAUACACUGUCCCUGCAGUCGUUGCGGUGCUGCCUGCAUUGUCUGGGAAUGUGGAUGCAGUGCCCCGGCAGUGUAUGCAGUGUCACAGAAGUUGGAUGCAGUAUGUUGUGACAUAGGAUGCAGUGCCCAUGAAGGUGGAUGCAGUGAUCCUUCACUGGUUUCCAUGUACACCGCAGUGUCCCUGAAUGUGGAUGCAGUGAACAAGCAGUGGAUGCACUGAACUUUCAGUGAUUGCAGUGCACCUGCAGUGCCACUUCAGCUGAAUGCAGUGUUGCUGCAGUGUUUGCAGAGCCCACUGCAGUGUCUCUGAAUGUGGAUGCAGGGCCCACGCAGCCUCUGCAGUGUGACCCAAGGUGGAUGCAGUAUGCUGUGAAGUAGGAUGCAGGACCCCUGAAGGAGGAUGCAGUGAUCCUGCAUUCAUUGCAGUGCAUCUGCACUGUCAAUGCAUCUGAAUGCAGUGUCCCUAAUAUGGAUUCAGUGCUCAUGCAGUGAUGAUGAAUGUUGUGAUGGAGGAUGCAGUGCCCAUGAAGGCAGAUGCAGUGAUCAUUCGGUGCUUGCAGUGUGCCUGCAGUGUCACUUCAGCAGGAUCCAAACUCCCUGUAGUGGCUGCAGUGCCCCCUUCUGUGUCUCUGAAUACUAAUGCAGUGCCCAUGCAGUGGAUGCAGAGUACCAAAAGAUGGAUGUGGUAUGUUGUGACAGAGGAUGCAGUGCCCAUGACGGUGCAUGCAGUGUUCCUGUACUGGUUGUCUUGCCCCCUUCUGUGUCCCUGAUUGUGGAUGCAGUGCCCAUGCAGUGGAUGCAGUGUCCCAGAAGGCAGAUGCAGUGUGUUGUAAUGGAGGAUGCAGUGCCCCCUUCAGGUUCCCUGAAUGUGGGUGCAGUGUCCUACAAGGCUGAUGCACUAUGAUGUAAUGAAGGAUGCGGUGCCCAUGAAGGUGGAUGCGGUGAUCCUGCAGUUGUUGCAGUGCCCCCUUCAGGUUCCCUGAUUGUGGAUUAAGUGCCCAUGCAGUGGAUGCAGUGAUCCUGC
rnacentral:lncRNA from 1 species